rnacentral:rRNA from 1 species
CAGUACCGUGAGGGAAAGGCGAAAAGAACCCCGGCGAGGGGAGUGAAAAAGAACCUGAAACCGUGUACGUACAAGCAGUGGGAGCACGCUUAGGCGUGUGACUGCGUACCUUUUGUAUAAUGGGUCAGCGACUUAUAUUCUGUAGCAAGGUUAACCGAAUAGGGGAGCCGAAGGGAAACCGAGUCUUAACUGGGCGUUAAGUUGCAGGGUAUAGACCCGAAACCCGGUGAUCUAGCCAUGGGCAGGUUGAAGGUUGGGUAACACUAACUGGAGGACCGAACCGACUAAUGUUGAAAAAUUAGCGGAUGACUUGUGGCUGGGGGUGAAAGGCCAAUCAAACCGGGAGAUAGCUGGUUCUCCCCGAAAGCUAUUUAGGUAGCGCCUCGUGAAUUCAUCUCCGGGGGUAGAGCACUGUUUCGGCAAGGGGGUCAUCCCGACUUACCAACCCGAUGCAAACUGCGAAUACCGGAGAAUGUUAUCACGGGAGACACACGGCGGGUGCUAACGUCCGUCGUGAAGAGGGAAACAACCCAGACCGCCAGCUAAGGUCCCAAAGUCAUGGUUAAGUGGGAAACGAUGUGGGAAGGCCCAGACAGCCAGGAUGUUGGCUUAGAAGCAGCCAUCAUUUAAAGAAAGCGUAAUAGCUCACUGGUCGAGUCGGCCUGCGCGGAAGAUGUAACGGGGCUAAACCAUGCACCGAAGCUGCGGCAGCGACGCUGAUGCGUUGUUGGGUAGGGGAGCGUUCUGUAAGCCUGCGAAGGUGUGCUGUGAGGCAUGCUGGAGGUAUCAGAAGUGCGAAUGCUGACAUAAGUAACGAUAAAGCGGGUGAAAAGCCCGCUCGCCGGAAGACCAAGGGUUCCUGUCCAACGUUAAUCGGGGCAGGGUGAGUCGACCCCUAAGGCGAGGCCGAAAGGCGUAGUCGAUGGGAAACAGGUUAAUAUUCCUGUACUUGGUGUUACUGCGAAGGGGGGACGGAGAAGGCUAUGUUGGCCGGGCGACGGUUGUCCCGGUUUAAGCGUGUAGGCUGGUUUUCCAGGCAAAUCCGGAAAAUCAAGGCUGAGGCGUGAUGACGAGGCACUACGGUGCUGAAGCAACAAAUGCCCUGCUUCCAGGAAAAGCCUCUAAGCAUCAGGUAACAUCAAAUCGUACCCCAAACCGACACAGGUGGUCAGGUAGAGAAUACCAAGGCGCUUGAGAGAACUCGGGUGAAGGAACUAGGCAAAAUGGUGCCGUAACUUCGGGAGAAGG